CUACUACCCAUAACGCCAUGCCCUCUAGCGUGUAGAGGGCCUCUUUCACCAAUCUCGAUUAGAGCUAACCGAGAGGUUAGUCCAUUGGAAUUGACCAAUCGCAUUGUCUAUGACAAAUGCGACUGGUCAAUUCCAAUGGAACCAGCCCAGAACAGCAUAGAUACGUUGGAAUAGCAGAUUUAAGCCUAUUGCACAAUGACCUAGUUUACAUCGUUAAAACUUUGGUACUCGUAUUAAGUUUGGUGCGCACCAAUGCUUUAAUACAGGCUCGUUUACAUCGAACGUACUAACGUUUCUUACAAUUCGUAUGUACUUGACCGAAGCAAAGUUCCGGAUAAAGAAAUGACUAUUUUAAAUCGUUUGUAUUUCGUUUGAAGAGUUAUGAAGUGCAUUUGAAAAGGUUUCUUACACGACAUUUUUUAAUAUGUUAUCGUUUGAGAGAGACCAAAUAAGAUUACUUAUCAUAAGACCGGUCAAUUAAGGUUAUAUUUAAUAGACCUAAUCCGCUACAAAAUACGUUUCAGUGUUUACAUCGUUAUUUGUAUUAUUUGGUACGCGUAUCAGUUUGGUACGAUAUUCUUGCUUAAUACGUUCGUACCAAUUUGAUCCGGCAUCGUUUACAUUAAUAUGACCGCAGACUCAUGACGAUUUCAAGUUCAGCACGAUCCAUCCCAAUCAAUACAAUUUAUAACUGCUAUAAUUUGGGGAAUCAGCUCGAUGCAUGGGUAAAGAUGCUAAAAUUGGAAGUAAUUUUUAUAUUUCUUAUAUUUUAUUUUAUUAAUAUAUUUGCACGAUAUUUGUAGUUUUUAACUUUUUAUUAAUAAAGGUAUAUGAUUUUUAUUAUUAUAGAAAUGCAUCCAUGUGUGUGUAUGUGUAUAUAUAUAUAUAGUUUUAAAAAAUAUAUAAAGAUGUAAUUUUUACUUUUCACCACUAAAUUUGUAUUAAAAUUCAUUAAAUUUACAGAAUUGAAGCCAUCUUUAUUGAAAAUCUCAUAUCCGCUAAUUUUAUAUCAUAAAAAUAAGUUUUUAUGCUGCAAAAUUAACAUUUAAAUUAUAAAUCCAAAUCAAUAAAACAUUUUUUUAAUAAAAACAUGAUCCUUUAACUUUAAUUUCUUUUAAAUCAAUUCUCUAUGAUUUUUAAUAAAGUUAUGAUUUUUGAAAAAUUAUGCCUGAAUUAUCCAUAACUUUGUUCACAUAUUUGUCAAAAUUACAUAGUUUCACCAAAUGUUACUGCUACUUUUUAAUCAUAUACUAGAAGGUUGAAACUAAAAUUACGAUUAAAAAUCAUUGCAUUACGGUAUUCCUUUUAAUAGAAGCGUAAAACUCGAGUGACUCCAGGAUGGCUAGUGAGGAACAAAAAAUUACGAUGGCUAACAAGUAUUAAAAUAAUUCAAGAGAGGUCAGUUAAUUAUUUCGACAAGACGAAUGACGUAACGAGGAUAAUAAUUACAGUUUUUGUAUUUAUUUGACAUUUUCUCUUUCUCGACUUCACGUAAUAUAAUAUUCAGUAACUUUGUUUAUAUACAAGUCAUCGACCCACAGUGCACAGACUAAACGUACUUUAGCGUUUACUCGGGAAUCGAUUUAUUUACAAAAAUGUGUCUUCAAGUUACGGAACAAUCUUUAAGUUCGCAAAUGCAUCGGAUCUCGUUCGCAAAUAUUUUCCAGUUAAUAAAAGCAGAAAUGUAAUUACUGCAAUUGCGUCUUAUAAAAAGAUCGCGCUAAUGCUUCCUCGCGCAUCUCGAUUAGAAUUUCUUCACUUUGCCUCUGUUCUUCUAUCAAAUAUUGGUUAACAAGCUUCGCCCUCAUCCAAGAAACGUGAAAUUAAAUUGAAAUGCAAUGUUGUUAAAACAUAGCAAUCCUUUUGUCUCAAAAGAGUAGAAAUCGCUACCACCAAGUCAACAAAUGUUACAUUCAAAAACGCGGAAUUUCGAAGAACGUCCAAAGAAAUUUCGAUUUCAAUACUAGAAAGACCGGCUUUUGGCUUUAACCAUUUCCGGAUAAUUUAAAGAUAAACAUUAAACAUAAAAAAAAUAGAAAUAAAAAUAAAAUUGCAAGUCAAAACGAAUGUAAAAUAACAAA